rnacentral:lncRNA from 1 species
CCAGGAAAUAUAAGCAUCUCUCUCUAGAGAGGUCAAACUAGGCAGCAUCUGAAGAAGCCUUAUAGCUGCUACCAGAUAGGGUACUCAGAGCAGCCUUGCAGCCCAAAGUCCUCACCUGAAGGUAAGCUAUGCGAUGUCACUCAGGCAGUAGGGAUGCUAUGGUUGAAGAUCUUUCACGUACAAUUUAAGCCAACUGAAUAAAGGAACAUGCCUGUAGUUAAGAAUUGGCACCAUCUUCUCAAGUCCUCC